GGCCGGGGGCACGGCGGGACUCCUACGGGGAGGCAGCAGUCGGGAAUUUUGGGCAAUGGGCGAAAGCCUGACCCAGCAACGCCGCGUGAAGGAUGAAAUCCCUCGGGAUGUAAACUUCGCAAGAACGGGAAGAAUAAGUAGGGGACAAUACCCCCUAUGAUGACGGUACCGUUUGUAAGCUCCGGCUAACUCCGUGCCAGCAGCCGCGGUAAUACGGGGGGAGCAAGCGUUGUUCGGAUUUACUGGGCGUAAAGGGCGCGUAGGCGGCCAGCACAAGUCAGUUGUGAAAUCUCCGAGCUUAACUCGGAAAGGUCAACUGAUACUGUGCGGCUAGAGUGCGGAAGGGGCAACUGGAAUUCUUGGUGUAGCGGUGAAAUGCGUAGAUAUCAAGAGGAACACCUGCGGCGAAGGCGGGUUACUGGGCCGACACUGACGCUGAGGCGCGAAAGCCAGGGGAGCGAACGGGAUUAGAUACCCCGGUAGUCCUGGCCUUAAACGAUGAAUGCUUGGUGUCUGGGGUUAUAUAGUCCCCGGGUGCCGUCGCUAACGCUUUAAGCAUUCCGCCUGGGGAGUACGGUCGCAAGACUGAAACUCAAAGGAAUUGACGG
rnacentral:rRNA from 1 species